rnacentral:lncRNA from 1 species
ACCAAUAACAUAACCUUUUCUUUCUUCUAUCAUCCAUUUUAGAUUGGGAGAUGGCCUUAGAAGGAUUUUUGUUAUUAGGAACCAUAGGAGUAUGGCCCCUUGAAGCAAUAGAAUUCUCAGGUUGGUGUAUGCUUUAACAGGAGAAAACAAGGGUUUAGAGUAACUAGAGUGUCCCUCUAUAGGAGUAAUCUUCUAAGGAACAGUGCUUACAAUAUCCUCCAUUUGAAGAGAAAUUGUUAACCCUUCUAUUAAGGUUGUGGGUUUAAAUAACUUCAAAUGUUGUCCAAUCUUAGGUUUAUGGUUGUAAACAAAUAUGCUUAAUGCAUAACUUUCUAGUAAUGCAAUUGGUUCAAGAGACUUACAAAGUUAUCAUGAUAGUGCUCAACUGUGCUUGUUCGAAUGGUCAUGCUCAAUCUGGAAGGUAGAUUUACCAACAUUCUCAGCCUAAAAAAACUAUUCUAGUUUGGACCACCAAAUUCAAAAAUUUUUCCCAUCAAAUCGAGGACAUUGUAACUAAAACAUUUUUCCAAUAGAAUCUACUAUGCUAACUCGAGAGGGAGUGCCCAAGUGGCCCACCUCAGUUGUUGGUGACAUAGCCAAACUGUCCUUAGGUGGAAACCCUGGUGGGGGUGUUCCUAGGAGUCCAUUGCCUCGAUCUUGACCCAUUCCGUGAGCACUAGUAGAUGACGAUCCAAAGUACUGCUCAAAGAAAAAAUGUAGCUCAGAUUUGAUUUCUCUUCUGAUUUCACCUUUGAACUCUUCACGGAAGUCCUUGAACUAUGAAUCUAACUUGGCAUCCAAUUUGCUAUCAAGCUGAGAAAAUUCACGUUGCAACAAGCCCAUGUUCUUCUGUAGAUACGUAGUGAUUCCAUCAUUGGCCAUGAGAAUCGUGUGGCUUUGAUACCUUUGAUGAGGGAAGAAGAUUCGAGUAAAAAAAAUGAAGGAAGAAGGAAGAAAUAGAAAGAAGAGAGAAUGAGAAUUCAAAGAGAAGAAAUGAAAAAGAAAACCAUAUAUAAUUUCAUAACUGCCUCACCC